UCCGAUAGCCCACUGAGAGAGUUUUGCUGCUGGGACGUCUCUGUUGACGGUUCUUUCUUAUUCAGUCGCCCUAAAGAAGACGUUUUAGAAAGUAACUCUUUGAGGCUCUGCAGAAGGACCAGAUUCUGCUGAGGGUACAUGAAGGGAUUUGUUAGCUUCUCUUGGAGGAGACUUAAUUUUCAUUGACCUGCUGUGAAUCAUCUGUGACUGAUACUCAUUUAAGCCCAUCUGACUGCUAUGUGGACUACUCACAGGGGCCUCUGCAUCAGGAGGUAUACUGCUCUCUGUCAGGUUCAUAUUGGGCACUGCUGAAUGGUUGGUUUUUCUGUGCAACAGUGACAUGACAGACCAUCUGAACAAAGAAACAACUAACAAAAAUGGUAGAGAAGAAUGUGCAGUGGUCUGUUGAGGAAACCCAGCAACUGAUUUCAUUUUGGACUCAAAAGCAAAGUCAUGCCUGGUAAAUGCGUCACUGUACAAUUUCUCUGUUGUUUUUUUGACAUUAGUCUCUCUGUUAGGUCUAGUAAGAGUGAAUACUGUAUUGGUGAUCAGAUGAAGUUCUAUGGAUGUGGAAACUAAAGGAAGAUAUGUAAACAAAGUAAUGCACACAGCUCAGUCGGUUCCGCCAUCUUGCUAGUACUCUCUCCUACCACGUUAUGUAGCACCCACUGUGGACAAUGCAUGAU